UGAAUGAUGGCUUCUUUAAUUGCCACUGUCUGCAUAGUUUGCAGCAGGAAUAUAAUAUAACCUCCUAAACCUGAGGAUGUUGUAUUCAUACCAAAUAAAUUCUAUUUGAACUAAACUUGUAAAUUAUUGGAUUAAAGUCACUUUAAGUGGAAUUUGAUUGAAAUAUUCAUGUCAGGAUGAAUAUGGAAUUUCUUUUUCUAAUUCUGGGCCUUUCUACUGUGAGCCUUACAUAAGGAAAUGCACCAAUAUUUGCUCCUGUUAAAAACAAUAAGGCUACAUUCACACUGCAGCCUGAAGUGACCCAAUUCUGAUUUUUUUUGCCCAUAUGCGACCUGGAUCUGAUCUUUUUAUGACAGUCUGAACAACACAGAUCGGAUAUUUUCAAAUGCGAUCCGGGCCGCUUGGAUAUGUGGUCCUGAAUGCGAUACGUAUCUGAUACGUAUGAAGAUAACACGGAGAGCAGUCAAUGGAGAGAAAGUGAGGUUGCUGACUUAAUUCAUAUUUGGAGAGAUAGCUCGAUUCAGACCAAACUUGAAGGGUCUUACUGGAACCCGGGGAUAUUUGAAAACAUUUCCCGAGAAAUGGCCGAUUGGGGAGACAAACGCUCCUGGAUCCAAUGCCAACGGAAAAUCAAGAGCAUCCGGGCCAAUUAUAAGGAGGCUAAAGAUGUAAACAAACGAAGCGGACGUGGACGUGUCACCUGUCCAUUUUAUGAAGAGCUGGACCGUGUUUUAGGAGACAAGCCCAGGGUUCAACCACUAUACCUGGUGGAUAGCUGCUUUGCCAGAGAGGAGCCCGAGGAGAGGAGCCCAGGUCCUGCUGCAAACACAGGCAGCAGCAAUACAGGUGAUGGGACGCUUGCCUCACCUUCAACUCCUGCCUCAACCUCAGAGGAAAGUUCUACAUCAAGAACUGAUGAGACAAGCUUUAACAGCAGUACACCAUCUGCAUCCUCUGGCUCAAGAUCUGCUAAUAAGAGAAAAAGAAAGUCAAAGCUGGAGACAACACUGGAGGUCUUGCCCUAAAAAAUGAAGAAACUGAUCUUUUAUUAAAAAUGCAAGCAGCUCAGCAUGAGCAUGAACGUAAAAUGUUCUCCAUGCUGUCCCAGUUCUUAGAGAGAUCAAGCCCCCCUCCUCAGCCACCGUUUUACCAGACUCCCAUGCAGCCUUCACAGCCCAGGAGAACCUCCUACUCAUCCCUCACUGUUUCCUGUGGUUUCGGGUCCAUCCAACAUCAGACCUCUGUCUUUUCUUCAGGAUUUACAUCAACUACUGGUGUUCAACAGUGCUCAUCCACAUUCACAUGUCACUUAAUCCUUUUGUGAAACACCAGUUCAUACCCAUGAUUAUCCUCCUGCCUUCCAGUCUCAGGAUGAGGAUGAAAUGUAAGCACUUUUGAAAAGUCCUGAUUUCUGUUUUGAAGGAUGCUGAUCUGCAUUUUAAUUUAAAGACAGCAGUUGCAAUGAAAGGUUAAGUUUACUUUAUUAGUUAGUACUUGAAUUUAGGGUGCCAUAUUUUUUCAUAUUGAUUGUUCUGUUUUUGUAUUCGAAAACAUUGUUAAAUGUUGUUAAAGUUGAUUAAAAAAUUGCACUACAAGAGCCAUACUAUUUUACCAGCAAAAACAGGUAACGUUGUUGAAAACUUUCUUUUUCUGGUAUUGAACAAAAAUGUUUGAACAUGUGUGUUAAC